rnacentral:tRNA from 1 species
ACCAAUGUUGCUCAACAGAGGAGCUACCGAAAGGAAAAAUGGAGGUUCGAUUCCUCCCGUUGGUA